rnacentral:rRNA from 1 species
UACGGGAGGCAGCAGUGGGGAAUAUUGCACAAUGGGCGCAAGCCUGAUGCAGCCAUGCCGCGUGUAUGAAAAAGGCCUUCGGGUUGUAAAGUACUUUCAGUCGUGAGGAAGGUGUUAAGGUUAAUAACCUUAGCAAUUGACGUUAGCGACAGAAGAAGCACCGGCUAACUCCGUGCCAGCAGCCGCGGUAAUACGGAGGGUGCGAGCGUUAAUCGGAAUUACUGGGCGUAAAGGGCACGCAGGCGGUUAAUUAAGUUGGAUGUGAAAUCCCCGGGCUUAACCUGGGAAUGGCAUUCAAGACUGGUUAGCUAGAGUCUUGUAGAGGGGGGUAGAAUUCCAUGUGUAGCGGUGAAAUGCGUAGAGAUGUGGAGGAAUACCGGUGGCGAAGGCGGCCCCUGGGACAAAGACUGACGCUCAUGUGCGAAAGCGUGGGGAGCAAACAGGGAUUAGAUACC